UGGGGAAUAUUGCACAAUGGGCGCAAGCCUGAUGCAGCCAUGCCGCGUGUGUGAAGAAGGCCUUCGGGUUGUAAAGCACUUUCAGCGAGGAGGAAGGUGGUGAACUUAAUACGUUCAUCAAUUGACGUUACUCGCAGAAGAAGCACCGGCUAACUCCGUGCCAGCAGCCGCGGUAAUACGGAGGGUGCAAGCGUUAAUCGGAAUUACUGGGCGUAAAGCGCACGCAGGCGGUUUGUUAAGUCAGAUGUGAAAUCCCCGGGCUCAACCUGGGAACUGCAUUUGAAACUGGCAAGCUAGAGUCUCGUAGAGGGGGGCUAGAAUUCCAGGUGUAGCGGUGAAAUGCGUAGAGAUCUGGAGGAAUACCGGUGGCGAAGGCGGCCCCCUGGACGAAGACUGACGCUCAGGUGCGAAAAGCGUGGGGCAGCAAACAGGAUUAGAUACCCUGGUAGUCCACGCUGUAAACGAUGUCGAUUUUGGAGGUUGUGCCCUUGAGGCGUGGCUUCCGGAGCUAACGCGUUAAAUCGACCGCCUGGGGAGUACGGCCGCAAGGUU
rnacentral:rRNA from 1 species